GUGUAGAUGGAGUAUAGAUAAAGUAUACUGAAGUGUAGGUGGAGUUUAGAUAGAGUAUACUGAAGUGUAAGUGGAGUAUGGGUAGAGUGUACUAAAGUAUAAGUGGAGUAUAGAUAAAGAACAGAAAAGUGUAGGUGGAGUCUACAUAGAGUGUUCUGAUGUGUCAGUGAAGUAUAGGUAGAGUAUGCUGAAAUGUAACUGGAGUAUGGGUACAGUAUACCAAUGUAUAGGUGGAGUAUAGAUAGAGUAUACUGAAGUGUAGGUGGAGUAUAGAUAAAGUAAACUGAAGUGUAAGUGGAGUAUAGAUAGAGUAUACUGAAGUGUAGGUGGAGUAUAGAUACAGUAUACUGAAGUGUAAGUGGAGUAUAGAUAGAGUAUACUAAAGAGUAGGUAAGAUAUAGGUAGAGUGUACUGAAGUGUAGGUGAAGUAUAGGUAGGUUAUACGGAAGUAUAAGUGGAGUAUGGGUAUAAUGUACUGAAGUGUAAGUUAAGUAUAGGUAGAGUAUAGUGAAGUGUAGGUGGAGUAUGGGUAGAAUAUACUGAAGUGUAGGCAAGGUAUAUGUAGAGUGUACUGAAGCAUAGUUGGAGUAUAGAUAGAGUAUAUCAACUAAAGCAUAGGUGGAAUAUAGGUAGAGUAUACUGAAGUGUAGGUGAAGUAUAGGUAGUUUAUAGUGAAGUAUAGGUGGAGUAUGGGUACAAUAUACUGAAAUGUAGGUGAAGUAUAGGUAGAGUAUAGUGAAGUGUAGGUGGAGUAUGGGUAGAACGUACUGAAGUGUAGGCAAGGUAUAGGUAGAGUGUACUGAAGCAUAGGUGGAGUGUAGAUAGAGUAUACCGAAGCGUAGGUGGAGUAUAGGUAGAGUGUACUGAAGUGUAGGUGAAGCAUAGGUAGAUUAUAGUGAAGAGUAGGUGGAGUAUGGGUAGAAUGUGCUGAAGUGUAGGUAAAGUAUACGUAGAGUGUACUGAAGUGUAGGUGGAGUAUAGGUAGAGUGUACAGAAGUAUAGAUGAAGCAUAGGUGGAGUAUAGAGUAUACUAAGGCAUAGGUGGAGCAUAGGUAGUGUACUGAAGCGUAGGUGGAGUGUAGGUAGAGUGUGCUGAAGCAUAGGUGGAGUAUAGGUGGAGUGUACUGAAGUGUACAUGAAGUAUAGGUGGAGUAUAGAUAGAGUGUACUGAAACAUGGGUGGAGUAUAGAUAGAGUAUACUGAAGCAUAGGUGGAAUAUAGAGAGAGUACUGAAGUAUAGGUGGAGUAUAGAUAGAGUGUACUGAAACAUGGGUGGAGUAUAGAUAGAGUGUACUGAAGCAUAGGUGGAAUAUAGAGAGAGUACUGAAGUGUAGGUAAGGUAUAGAUAGAAUGUACUGAAACAUGGGUGGAGUAUAGAUACAGUAUGCUGAAGCAUAGGUGGAGUAUAGGUAGAGUGUACUGAAGUGUAGGUCCUGGAGAUCACGAGUG
rnacentral:lncRNA from 1 species